rnacentral:rRNA from 1 species
UGGGGAAUAUUGGACAAUGGGCGAAAGCCUGAUCCAGCCAUGCCGCGUGUGUGAAGAAGGUCUUCGGAUUGUAAAGCACUUUAAGUUGGGAGGAAGGGUUGUAGAUUAAUACUCUGCAAUUUUGACGUUACCGACAGAAUAAGCACCGGCUAACUCUGUGCCAGCAGCCGCGGUAAUACAGAGGGUGCAAGCGUUAAUCGGAAUUACUGGGCGUAAAGCGCGCGUAGGUGGUUAGUUAAGUUGGAUGUGAAAUCCCCGGGCUCAACGUGGGAACUGCAUUCAAAACUGACUGACUAGAGUAUGGUAGAGGGUGGUGGAAUUUCCUGUGUAGCGGUGAAAUGCGUAGAUAUAGGAAGGAACACCAGUGGCGAAGGCGACCACCUGGACUGAUACUGACACUGAGGUGCGAAAGCGUGGGGAGCAAACA